rnacentral:lncRNA from 1 species
GUAAAAUUUGAACACUUCAGAAACGUUGGGAUAAUUUUGUUAACCUGGGUAUAGAUCCCUCAGAGAGAAUCGAAAUGACCUUACUAAAUCAACAAGUAACGCGGUAGAUAUUUGGAAUAAACAUAUUUACUAGGGUAAGGAAGGUUGCAUACCAUAUGCUAAUUCAAAGAUUAAUUGAUUUAAAUAUUGGAAUUCAAAUUUGCGCAUGUCCCGACUAACAGAACGGUAAAGAGAUCGAGAACGAAGGAGUCGAGAAGAUUAGCUGGUACAAAAUUUUUCGUUGGUUUAUCAAAAGAAGCGAAAUCACAUUCCUGUACCUGUUGAUAUCUAAAGGAAUUUUGGAGGCUGUUCUGGGAAGAAGAUCUGUCAGGCCUCCAUACCUUAUCAUAUUACAUAGAAAUUGGUAACACGGAGAUUACUAUUAAUCACAAUAAUUCAUUGGUGCAGUUGGAUAGGAAAUGAUGAAUGAAUAAUUUUCACCUUGGACUUCAAUCAGUUGGAUCCUAAGGUCAGACCGAAUCUAUUUUUUAUUUCAUAUGGAAAUUGUGCAAGGACGUAGGAGAAAUUUCCCCGUGUACCGUUAGAAUUCCAGCAUAUAUCCCUUCCUGGAUUAUUUAACCUUCCCUCCCUGAUUUUGCAAAAGGCGAGCUCUGGAUUAGAAAAGAUAAUCCUAACAAAUAUUUAGUUCCCACAUAUACGUACUAUUAUUGUGACCCUUGGGGUCGUUCGAAAGAAAUAAAGUGUUAAAUUUUGAAGUGUAAGCCAAGGGUAACGUUACUCCGGGUACCGAUAUUUUUUUAUAUAUCAAUUAUUAAUAUACAAUAUAAUAUU